GAUGGUAUGGCUGAGUAAGGCGGCGGACUGUAAAUCUGUUUAUAAUAAUUGAAUAUUUAUCAUCA
rnacentral:tRNA from 1 species